UCUCAUCCACCUGGUCCUGGUAAUUGUAAAUCUCACCUCUUUUUAGUUAUACUUCUCCGGUCUUUCUUUUGUUGUGUCUUUGCUCUUUUCAAAUUUCAAGUUUAAAUUACCUUUUCAGUUAAGUCAACCGUAGAAUUUUUUUGGCAUUAGGGAGGCAUAGCUGCUAUCUCGCUAUCUGCAAACGUAUUCAACAAGACAUAAUGUUCUUGAAAAUUCUACUAUUGGCACCCCCAACGCAGCCCACAUCAUCUUGGUACAGAGACGGUUUUCCCUUUUCCAAAACAGGCUGCACUUAUCAUCUGAGAACCUUCGGAGCUCUUUGAGAAAGGUUUCCUCUUUUAUUAACUUAAUGUUGCCAAUGUGUUCCCUCUGCCAAUGUGUACAAACCGAGUCUGUCUUUGAACAUCUUUUGUAUUUUGUUUGCCAGCUGCAAGUCACCAAGUUCGACCAACUCAACCCCACGACAAGUUAAACAAAGGAAAAAGUAUGCAAUCCUUCGCCCAUUUCUCAAAAAGUAAGCCCGCUCUUUCCAUUAUGUUUUCGUAUGGCCUAUUUAUCGUCGCAUUGUUGUAUAUUUUGCAUUAUUACUAAUUUAACAUUGCCAAUCUAUUUUCUCUAACAACGUGUAUAACACUUAACUUAUCUAACUUUGCCUACUUACAUUUUAACUUCAACCUUUAAACAUGUUAUGUAUUUUGAUUACUAGCUGCCAGCCGCGAUGUCAGACUCAAUUCCUGCGCAAUUUAGAUAAAGGAAAGCAAGUAUGCAGCCUAUUCACUAUCUUUGAAACAGGUAAUCCAGCUCUUUGCCUUAUAUUUUUCAGUAUGGCAUAUUGAUCAUCACUUUAUUGUAAAUUGUGAUUGUUUGCACAUAAGGGUGCAUGUUGGAUGUGUCUACUCAGCAUUAUGCGGCCUUAAAUACAGUUCCAAUCGAAAGGUUUGUGCUAAAUUGAUACUCCAAUAAUAUCUACUUCACCUAUUACUGAACAGCGAAGCGAGUAAUAUGAUUCUAAAAAAAGUUCCUAACUGUUCAUAUUGUGGCACACAAAAAUUUGAAUACAAAAGAAGAAUCUAAACAUUUUCGAACAUAGAUUAGAACAUACAAUAAUAUGUUGAACACAUUGCUUGGUGUGAAGUACGAUAAAAAAAAUUGUGAAAAGAAAUUGUGGUAUGUACAGAUUUAGAGAACAAGGACAUAUGUAUCAUUUCAUAGAUGAUUUAGUCGCUUCCAACGAAAAACCCAACAACUUACAAUUAUACUUUUCUGAUCAUGAGAAUGAAUUGGCUAGCAGAAUGGCCAAAAAACCCCAAACUAUUAGAGGCAAGGCUAAUGACAAAAAGGGUCUAAGAAGUCAUGGUACUUACUCCCUCUGUUUCAUCUUCGAUUUACUUAAACUAAUACUCAUUAUUAUAUAAUUAAAGUUUAAAGUUACAAUUUAUGAGUGCAGUAAUUUUAAUAGCAUCAAUUGUUGAGAUUUUUACUGGUAAAACAAAAUACAUACUAAAAUACUUUAGCAGUACAAAAAGAAAUAUCUAUUCAUAAUAUCUUGAGAUUGUUUCCUAUUAAGCUAUUCAAAGAAGGAAACAGUGUGAUUGACUUGUCUUUUUGUUUACCUAUUUUGAUUAAAAUAAAGAUAUUCUCCUUCACUCCACAUUAUCAUUUUACUUAACAAAAGAAACAAUAACUUGUGUACCGAAAGAGGUACCAUUUUCUCAUGAAUUUAUCUUGAGUUGAGAUUCUUUGGUCAAUUUUAUCCAAUUUUGCUAACAGCAGUCCAUUUUCAAUCUUAAAUUGGUUAAAAUACAGCAACGGAAUUGGGUAUUUAUUUAAGGUGACAAUGUAUAUUAUUUAUUAAACUCUUAUGUUUUAUUGUGCUUUCUAUUCUGGCUUUGAAAUUUGGGGCUAAGAAAAAGGUUGGGAUGUUCAUUGUUCAAGUAAUUUGAGAUAUUAGACGAUGCUAUUGAUGUAAUGAAAUUGGAAGAUGCUGUAAUUCAAAACAUGGUAAAGUCUCUGAUUUGUGUUCACAAGUUGCAAUCCUUGAUUGUUUUUCAUUGUAUUGGGUUAUUUUUCAUAAUAUUGGCAAUUUUGACAAAUGUACAAUGAUUUUAACUCCACUAUGUACAUACUUGGUCACCCAUGGAAGAAGUGUGAAAAGAUAAUUCAGCAAUUAUUUGGAAACCUUUCCUCAUGUUGGGAACCAAAAUGAGGUACAAGAAGCAAUGUAAAGUGUACUUCAAACAGAACUUGAGUUGUACGAGUAGGGUUAAAAUAGGAAAUUCACUUUAUUCACUCUCUCACCUCUGCUUCUACUCUUUCUUCUCUGGCUGACAACAUUGACAGCCAUUUUAAACCUUCAACGGAGUUAAACUUUGCUUCAGAGUCUCACUCCAACUUCUCAAGUUCGUUCAAUUGUUUACCUGGUAAGUAUUCUUGUGUGGUAUUGACCCUCUUCCCUUGUGAAUUUUAACUCUUUUUUUCCCAUUAUUGUGUUUAUGCUUCCUAUUAUUUUACUGAUUUUUCUUAUUUAUAGGUCUUCCACAAUUUUUCUCGGAUUCUUUUGAGUUCAGAUAGAUGCCUCUUGAAAUACAUGCAUAAUUUGUUUUCAAUAUUUUGCAGUUUCUAGCUCUAAAAUACUAAAAAAUAUUAGUAGUAUUUUCUUAUCAAUAUAUGAUACUUUUUGUAGAUAAUUAAUGGCUUGAUGCGGUAGCAUGUUUGCCGGAAUUUCCUGUGAAGGUAAGACUUGUGUGUUAUGAAGAGAGAUUAGUUACAAGAGUUGAUUGUUUUGGCAGAUGAUUGAAGGUGCUAAUGAAGUUGAACGGUGGGCUUAGGUGAAUAGACAUUUUCCCUUGUAAUAUCUUUUUUUCAUAUGGUAUUUUCCCCAAAAAAUAUUGAGUAAGAAUUUGAGUUGCCGAAUUCUUUGAUGCUGCCAUGAAAUUAGAAGUGAUAACGUAAUGCUGAAAAUUCUGGGUAAGCUUUCAGUAUUGAUCUUUUUGUUGUUUGAACUACAUUUUUGAAAAAAUUCAACUACUAAUAUAGUAAGUUGAGGUGAUAUUCAAAGACAAAUUGUUUAAAUACAAAGUCAGAAUAACAAGCAGGUUGAAUCAGGUGAAAAGGUUCAUUUCUGGCUCUCCAAUUUCCAAGUCCUUUAAGGUACCAUUCCACAUUUUCUUAAGAACAUUUAAACUUUUGCCAAUGAAUCGUGAUGUUGGUGUUGCAUUUAUUUUUACCAGUUCUUGGAUAAAAGCUGAAACUUUAAUAUUGAAAAUUCUGUUACUGGAUUGAGUUCUAGAAGUCUGUCAUAUCAUCUUAUGCUUUCUCAAAAUUUUUGUUUCAUGUGUUCAUAACAAACGAUUGUAAAACCCUUCUAAUGUUAUGCAUUUAUAUUUAUUUUUCACAAAUAUAUAUCAAGUAAAAGUGAUCUUUUGCUAUGUCUUUUUUCCUGUUUCUUGUAGGCCGCAUGAAAAUAUGCCUUCGGUUUGGAUUGAGUCGGGAAUGAUACGAAUGAUAUGAUUCCCUCUGCUGACUAUAAGAAGCAUAUUCUAUUUCUCCAUUUGUAUGAGUAAAUUCUAUCAUUUCUUUGAGAUAUAAAAUUAUAAGCUAUGUAUCAAUGUUAUUUUGGACAUUUCAUUUUUAUAGGAAAUGCACUGAUGGUAGCAGCAUGUGCUGCUAUAGUUUCAUAUUUUAACUCUUUAUUGUUUUCCCUACUGAAUUUCCCUUUCAGAUUCAAGUGAUGAUUCAAUAUGAUGACACUGUUGUUAAAUCAAAAUUUAUCUUUUUUAGCCAAGUAGACUGAGUAUUGACAUUUUAAUUAUGUUGCCUAAUUGAUA
rnacentral:lncRNA from 1 species